UACGGAGGGACCUAGCGUUGUUCGGAAUUACUGGGCGUAAAGCGCACGUAGGCGGACUGUUAAGUCGGGGGUGAAAGCCCGGGGCUCAACCCCGGAAUAGCCUUCGAUACUGGCAGUCUUGAGAGUGAGAGAGGUGGGUGGAAUUCCUAGUGUAGAGGUGAAAUUCGUAGAUAUUAGGAAGAACACCAGUGGCGAAGGCGGCUCACUGGCUCAUUUCUGACGCUGAGGUGCGAAAGCGUGGGGAGCAAACAGG
rnacentral:rRNA from 1 species